UUGAGAACUUGAUCGUCAAUUGAUGGUAAUGUUAUGGGUCUUGGUCUCCAUUCAUUAAAAUGUUCUCCAUUGCUAGUGAUUGUUAGAAUUUUGUUGUAUCCGAAAGUUUUAAGCCACAUGCAGAUGAGAUCAGAUGUAUUUCAUUUUUCUGUAUUUAAUAUAAUGAUGUUAUUGAUCAGGAAUUCUUCCAGUAAAUGGGGAUUCCCCUUCUAUUUUCAUUCAGUAAAUUGAUCUGAAUUUGUACAAAUGCAUUAGUAAUUCUCACACUGCAGGUUCCAGGUACUACAUGUUUGAUGUAUAUGAAUAUUUUGUAUGGACAACUUUGUUUCCAUUUAUUCAUGAUGUGAGGACAAGCUUGCAAGAUUAAGCCAGUUCUGUUUCUCCAAGUUUAUUUUGUCAUAUUGCACUGUCAAACUUUAAUAUGAAAAAUCCCACAGAAUGAAUGUUAGAUGAUUAAUAACUUUGAUUAUCUCUGAAAGUUCUGUAUUCUAAUAUUUUUGUUUUUACUUUUUCUAUAAUGAUACCUUCAUGGCGCAGAUCAUUUGAAUAGAUUGCUCUUCUCUAAAGAGGAAACUGUGAUGCGGAACUAAGCAUGAUAUAUAUGGCCCUUUCUGGCUUAAGCCAUCUAUGCUUCUGAUGGUGGAUAAAUGUUUGGGUAAUGAUGUUUUACAUGCUUUUUGACGCCCAUGCAUCCAUUAUGAUUAUCUAAGCAUGUUCUAUAUGGCCUUUUCUGGCUUAACCAUCUAGGCUUCUGAUGGUGUUUAAAUGAUUGGGUAAUGAUGUUUUACUUGCUUUUUGACGCCCAUGCAUCUGUUAUGAUUAUCUAAGACAUAGGAUACAAUAGUAUCAUUUUUGGUGAGAGGGAUAGAGUAUAUUCUUAUUUAAGGUUGUUCUCCUGUAUGAAACCAAUGUUUGAAGCCUUCAUUUUGAUCUGUGGAUUCCUAUUAUUUUUCCUAAAAAAUGAUGCUGAUAGAUGGUUUGAUUAUCAUGUAGCUUAUUUUUUAAGUAUUAUACUUACUGCAGACACUGUAACCUUGGGACCUAUCAGAAAUUUGCUCAGAUGAAUGCUUGCAUAUUUUUUUGUAGAAUGCCAGUCAAGUUAUUCAGAAACAUUGAUAGUUCAUUUCCUCAUCAUUCAUUACUCUGAAGGUAAUCUUGAGGGGCUAUCAUGGUGAAGUGGCUUUAUUGUUGAAAGUGCUUAUAUUCAAUGUGUUUCAUAAUUCUGAAGUAACUUUUACGUAAACAAUAUCAGACACCAGCAUUGGCUUACUGUUUUCAGGCAGUGCGAUCGUUUUCCAAAGAGAAAUGCUGUCAUCAGAAGAGGAUAUUUGUUUUACUCUGCUUAAUUGUGUCCUCAUAAUUCUACUUGAUUUCUGGGCCUCCUAUUAUUUUCUAUCAUAUAUCAUCAGCUUCAAAUGGAUAUUUUGUUUUGCUGGAAAGAACAUUGGUGUAUCGCAACUAUUGAAGUUUUGUGGUUCUGUAGUUAAAGGUAGGAGACCAGAUGUCGAGGCUUAUGGUUCUUUUGCAGUGCUGUCAAGGCUUAUGUUCUUUUGCAAUGCUAGUGGGGUCUGCUGUUUGGCGCUUAAACAUCAGAAGAUAGACCAAACCUCUGGAAUGAACAUGUUUGACAUAACUGAUGAAGCUAGAGGAAGUGGGAUUAAAUAGAUGUACAGGUUGUAGGUUUUAAGUUAAAAGAACAGAUCUGUGUGUGCAUAUCUUUGAAGUAAAUGAGGCCAGUUUUGGAGUUCAAAAUAGGUCCAGAACGUGGGCCACAUUCAAUGGCAUAUAUGAGUAAACACCAUUGAGUGCAUGACACAGCAAUGUCAUGCACACAUGGAAAAUGAUGAGAUGAAGAUGUUUUAUCAGGGACCAGAGUAAAUAACAUAGGUACUAGUAGUGACAGAAUAUGAUAGUUUUUUCUGUCCUAUUCCAGUUUAGUUUUGAACCUUGGUACAGAAGUUUGUCCUAAGUUGGCCUUUGAAUAGAUUUUUUCCCCUGAACUUCCCACUCAAACAGGUUAAGCUGGUGGAGUGGGCUGUAUUUCCUAUUACCAUGAGGUGAAUGUUUCAUAGGUUCUCUGAUCAAGUGGUAGCCAUGUAAUCAAGUGAGUCAUGGUUCAUUAGUGUUAGUCUUAAUACAGCAGGAUAGUAUCUUCUGUUUAUUCUUUUUCCCUGCUUCUAUUAUUUCCUUACAUAGGGAUCAAUCAUCGAUGUUUUAGCUGAUAUCAGCCAUUUUAUUUGUUGUCGAGGAUCCCAACACAGCAAAUGUUUUAUGUUGAUUCACUUGGUUUCAGAUCUGGUUUAUGGAGCAGUAUGCUGAGAAUCAUAUCAUGAGUGUUCUUCAUAUGCACCACCCUUGCAGCACUGAUUUGGGUAAAGUUGUUGCAGUAUUGAUUCAGUAAGAAAAGCUAUCAUAAUGUUCUCACAACCAUACGGAACUGUAAAGCAAAGGAUAUGAGUUGCAUGUGAUUCUCUUGGACCUACACCAUGAUUUACCUUAACUAGGAUUCUUAUUUGGAAACAACAACAUGAUGUAGUGCACUACCUUCAUGUCUAAGCUGUACUGUUCAUUGUCACACUACCUAAGUUUGCUGUGAAUUCUUACCAAAAGAACUGUUGAAGACACUACAUGGGCUCCUGCCUUGUACACUUUGGCUUUCUGAAAGUUCCUUCUGUACAGCCUUUCACCAAUGAAAUCUGUUUAUUUUUGGUUCCAUCCACCAAUUAUUGUUAGAGAUUUGAAAAUUGAAGAUGCAAAUCAUACUCUUUCAUGGUGGUUUCUCAAUGUCCUGUGGUCAUGAAAAGUUUGGUUCAUAUUCUGACCUUUAUAUUGCCAAUCUUUUAGUUAUUAGACAUACUUUAGGCCCUUAACUAAUGCUUUAAUAUCAUGAAUACAGAACAUACAUUUGAUGAGUUACUUUAAAUGUAGCAUGAGUUAUAGAUGUGUAGUCUAUAGUUGAUGGUCCAGAUUGAUGUUCACAGUUCAGUCAUCAGUUGGAGACUGGAGGGUCUGGGAUUUUAGAUUGCAAGUCUUACGCAAGCUAGUUUUAAACAAACAUCUUCCCCAUUGGUCAGCUUUACUGGGCAAUGUUUUUCCCAGGGUAUCUUUCAUGUUUUUAUUGGUAAUGAGAGCCAGGCUAGAUGUUAAUUUCAGUUCAGCUACCAAGUUGAAUGUCAAGGUCUUGAUAUGAUAAGGUACAUUUCUGUAGCUGAAGGACUGUCAUGCCAUACUAGUUACCAUUUUUCACUAUGUGAAAUUGUCUCUCACUCUGCCAGCCUUUCUAUGAUUGCUCAGUUUUGGAUGGAGAAGAUUGUAUGGAACUAAAAACAUUAUAUGCCAAGUUCUACAAUAUUACUCAUGGGGUCAGCCUGAGUCACUGAUGGUCCUGGUCAAUCGUGUCAUUUUCAGUAUGGCUGUAAUCAGGUUCCAUGAACUAAUUCUCUCUCAAUGCCUUUGCCUUUUCCUUUUGUUUGUGCUCAACUUGCUGAUUCUCGUCGUGCUUUCAGUCAGAGUAUCUAAUGACAUCUAGCGUGGUACUUCCUGAGUUUUGAGCUGGUGAUCGCCAUCAUAUGUAUUAUUCUUCCGAACAGGUGGGCCAGGAAUUAUCACGGAUAGGGAAAGAAGGGAACUCUGUUAAAAUUUUGAUAGUGAAAAGGAUUUGGUAGGAUUUACUCUGGCUUCCUAUAGUUAAUCUUUUGUAAACUAUAUUGCUUGAAUUUUUGAUGUCUCGCUUGUUAUAAAUCAUCUAACAUACUUUGGAUUUCUUCUACCUUC